CUGCUUAAUCUUCAGUCUUGCUCGACGAUUUUGGAACCAUGUCGCCACCUGACGAGGUUGUAGACCAAGCUCCUCAGCCAGCUGCUGUUUCAUCCUGGACUCUGGUCUUGACUCCGACUCAAACAUGAAUUCCAGCACACAAUCUUCAGGAGGCUAGCUAAAUCCUUCUCGAACAGUCAAUUUUCUGCUCCAUUCUUACAUGGAUGUAAAUACCCCUGAUAAAACAGACAGGUUAUUCACCGGAUUUUCAGAUUUCAUGGUACAAUGAAUCAUUCAACAUUUGGGAAUUGGGGAUCUGUAACUUUUCCAAAAGACUAACACGUUGAUUAGAAGUCAUUUAUCCAGAGAGGGUGGCAACCUUUAAUCAUUGCUAACGACAAAGCCAUGGCCGAUGGGUCUUCGUUAAACCAAUCUCAAAAUGCCACGGCUGUGACAUGUCAAAACAAGGGUCUCCUUGAAUGAUUUCAGGAAUUGGAACGUGGCUCUUGAGUUGUGGUUGUGGGAACGAUGGUCCAGCUGAAGCUUGUCUUGAAGCGUUUGAAGAAUGCAGUGGACUCCAUUUCAGGUAGACAAAGCUGAUUCUUGAAGAUUUCGAUCGUCAGUCUUUGUUGUCCAACCGUAACCAAGUCUCCUUCAAUUACAGUUUCAUUUUCUUGCUA